ACUUAAAUAUUUUAUAUAAAUAAAAUAUUAAUUUGUGGAAUUAAAGAAAUGGAAACAUUUUAAGUA
rnacentral:tRNA from 1 species